AGUGAACGCUGGCGGUAGGCCUAACACAUGCAAGUCGAACGGCAGCACAGUAAGAGCUUGCUCUUACGGGUGGCGAGUGGCGGACGAGUGAGGAAUACAUCGGAAUCUACUUUUUCGUGGGGGAUAACGUAGGGAAACUUACGCUAAUACCGCAUACGACCUACGGGUGAAAGCAGGGGAUCUUCGGACCUUGCGCGAUUGAAUGAGCCGAUGUCGGAUUAGCUAGUUGACGGGGUAAAGGCCCACCAAGGCGACGAUCCGUAGCUGGUCUGAGAGGAUGAUCAGCCACACUGGAACUGAGACACGGUCCAGACUCCUACGGGAGGCAGCAGUGGGGAAUAUUGGACAAUGGGCGCAAGCCUGAUCCAGCCAUACCGCGUGGGUGAAGAAGGCCUUCGGGUUGUAAAGCCCUUUUGUUGGGAAAGAAAAGCAGCAGGUUAAUACCCCGCUGUUCUGACGGUACCCAAAGAAUAAGCACCGGCUAACUUCGUG
rnacentral:rRNA from 1 species